rnacentral:rRNA from 1 species
CCUACGGGUGGCAGCAGUAGGGAAUGUUGCGCAAUGGGCGAAAGCCUGACGCAGCAACGCCGCGUGAUUGAGACGGGCUUCGGGGUGUAAAGAUCUGUUAGUGGGGACGAAACUUGACGGUACCCACAGAGGAAGCACCGGCUAACUCCGUGCCAGCAGCCGCGGUAAUACGGGGGGUGCAAGCGUUGUGCGGAAUCAUUGGGCGGAAAGGGUUCGUAGGCGGCACGUAAAGUCUGGUGUUAAAGGCCGAGGCUCAACUUCUGUACGGCACUGGAUACUUGCGAGCUAGAAUGCGGUAGAGGUAAAUGGAAUUCCUGGUGUAGCGGUGAAAUGCUUAGAUAUCAGGAGGAACAUCGGUGGCGUAGGCGCUUUACUGGGCCGUAAUUGACGCUGAGGAACGAAAGCCAGGGUAGCAAAUAGGAUUAGAUACCCUAGUAGUC